rnacentral:rRNA from 1 species
ACGCCAAGUCAGCAUGGCCCUUACGUCCUGGGCUACACACACGCUACAAUGGCGGUGACAGAGGGAAGCGAGGGUGCGAGCCUGAGCCGAUCCCCAAAAGCCGUCUCAGUUCGGAUUGCACUCUGCAACUCGAGUGCAUGAAGUCGGAAUCGCUAGUAAUCGCGGAUCAGCACGCCGCGGUGAAUACGUUCCCGGGCCUU